GUCGAGCGGUAGAGAGAAGCUUGCUUCUCUUGAGAGCGGCGGACGGGUGAGUAAUGCCUAGGAAUCUGCCUGGUAGUGGGGGAUAACGUUCGGAAACGGACGCUAAUACCGCAUACGUCCUACGGGAGAAAGCAGGGGACCUUCGGGCCUUGCGCUAUCAGAUGAGCCUAGGUCGGAUUAGCUAGUUGGUGGGGUAAUGGCUCACCAAGGCGACGAUCCGUAACUGGUCUGAGAGGAUGAUCAGUCACACUGGAACUGAGACACGGUCCAGACUCCUACGGGAGGCAGCAGUGGGGAAUAUUGGACAAUGGGCGAAAGCCUGAUCCAGCCAUGCCGCGUGUGUGAAGAAGGUCUUCGGAUUGUAAAGCACUUUAAGUUGGGAGGAAGGGCCGUUACCUAAUACGUGAUGGUUUUGACGUUACCGACAGAAUAAGCACCGGCUAACUCUGUGCCAGCAGCCGCGGUAAUACAGAGGGUGCAAGCGUUAAUCGGAAUUACUGGGCGUAAAGCGCGCGUAGGUGGUUUGUUAAGUUGGAUGUGAAAUCCCCGGGCUCAACCUGGGAACUGCAUUCAAAACUGACUGACUAGAGUAUGGUAGAGGGUGGUGGAAUUUCCUGUGUAG
rnacentral:rRNA from 1 species